ensembl:snoRNA
CUACCAAAAGUUAAUUUCUUUGCGGGGAAGGCUUCCUAAAUAACCUUUACCAAUUUGGGCUACUUGGGAGAGUAAGGAAAGACCAUACUCCACAGUGGGCUAUACCAAUAGUUCACUACUAUUUUGUGGACUACAUU